ensembl:lncRNA
CCCGUCUCACCCAUUUCUAAAGAAGAUUUCUUAACGCUGUCACCAGUGACUCCUAAACAUCACCACUAAAGGAUCUCUUUAUCAGCCCAAUCCCACAGGCUUCUGAAGGAGGAAGUCAUACCAGCAACGGGAAAGAACCCUAACACAUGGAGAGGGAAGUGAUGAAAUUAAAAAAAAAAAUUCAGCUGUUGGGUAAUGCUGCUACAGGGAUUCCUGGCAACAAUUAAGCACAGCUACAGAAGUCAGACUCACUGCAGGCUUGAGGAAGAGGGAUAGCUCACUAUUCGCUCUGAUGGUAAUAAUUAUAUGCUAUGGAAAUAGUAGAAUUAAUACAUAGGCAUGAAUUCUUCAUCUUAGUGACGUUCCUAUCCGGCCUAGUUCCUUCCAGAUUUCUGUUAACGUGAUAUACACUCCUUACUUAGAACGAGGCCAAAAUGUUGGUCUGUGUUUGGCAUAGGCUGAAGAAUUGUAGCUUCAGUCUAGUCUACGUGGUGAAGAAUGAACUUGGCAACAGGUUAACUCAUGAGCUUUGAAACUCAUAUGCUUUUCAUUCA